rnacentral:rRNA from 1 species
ACUUAAAUUGAAGAGUUUGAUCAUGGCUCAGAUUGAACGCUGGCGGCAGGCCUAACACAUGCAAGUCGAACGGUAGCACAGAGAGCUUGCUCUCGGGUGACGAGUGGCGGACGGGUGAGUAAUGUCUGGGAAACUGCCCGAUGGAGGGGGAUAACUACUGGAAACGGUAGCUAAUACCGCAUAACGUCGCAAGACCAAAGUGGGGGACCUUCGGGCCUCACACCAUCGGAUGUGCCCAGAUGGGAUUAGCUAGUAGGUGGGGUAACGGCUCACCUAGGCGACGAUCCCUAGCUGGUCUGAGAGGAUGACCAGCCACACUGGAACUGAGACACGGUCCAGACUCCUACGGGAGGCAGCAGUGGGGAAUAUUGCACAAUGGGCGCAAGCCUGAUGCAGCCAUGCCGCGUGUAUGAAGAAGGCCUUCGGGUUGUAAAGUACUUUCAGCGAGGAGGAAGGCGUUGUGGUUAAUAACCACAGCGAUUGACGUUACUCGCAGAAGAAGCACCGGCUAACUCCGUGCCAGCAGCCGCGGUAAUACGGAGGGUGCAAGCGUUAAUCGGAAUUACUGGGCGUAAAGCGCACGCAGGCGGUUUGUUAAGUCAGAUGUGAAAUCCCCGGGCUCAACCUGGGAACUGCAUUUGAAACUGGCAAGCUUGAGUCUCGUAGAGGGGGGUAGAAUUC